rnacentral:rRNA from 1 species
CAGGAAGAAUGCCCUAUGGGUUGUAAACUGCUUUUAUUUGGGAAUAAACCUCUUUACGUGUAGAGAGCUGAAGGUACCAAAUGAAUAAGCACCGGCUAACUCCGUGCCAGCAGCCGCGGUAAUACGAAGGGUGCAAGCGUUAUCCGGAAUCAUUGGGUUUAAAGGGUCCGCAGGCGGAUUUAUAAGUCAGUGGUGAAAUCCUAUCGCUUAACGAUAGAACUGCCAUUGAUACUGUAAGUCUUGAAUUCGGUCGGAGUGGGCGGAAUGUGUAGUGUAGCGGUGAAAUGCAUAGAUAUUACACAGAACACCGAUAGCGAAGGCAGCUCACUAGGCCUGAAUUGACGCUCAGGGACGAAAGCGUGGGGAUCAAACAGGAUUAGAUACCCUGGUAGUCCACGCUGUAAACGAUGAUUACUCGUUUUCGGCGAUAUACAGUCGGAGACUAAGCGAAAGUGAUAAGUAAUCCACCUGGGGAGUACGAUCGCAAGGUUG